rnacentral:rRNA from 1 species
UACGAAGGGGGCUAGCGUUGCUCGGAAUUACUGGGCGUAAAGGGUGCGUAGGCGGUCUGAUAAGUCAUCUGUGAAAUCUAUGGGCUCAACCCAUAGUCUGCAGGCGAAACUGUCGGGCUUGAGUAUGGGAGAGGUGAGUGGAAUUUCCGGUGUAGCGGUGAAAUGCGUAGAUAUCGGAAGGAACACCUGUGGCGAAAGCGGCUCACUGGACCAUUACUGACGCUGAGGAGCGAAAGCGUGGGGAGCGAACAGG